AGCAUCCUCCGGCGGGGGCCCUGCCUGGCGCCGCGGCGAGCCGGGGCUGCCGCGGGGCGGGCGGGCGAGCGGCACCUCCAGCGCUCUGUGUCCGCGCAUCGCCCCGGCUUUUAUUUAACGCGGCCGAGCUCAGCUUGGCUCCUCCCCUUCUCGGAAAACAUGUGGCUACGUUCACUUUCGCUUUAGCAACGGCUUGGUGGCCCUGAGCCAGCCGUAGCUCUGGCUCCAGAGAAUGCCCCGCGGGCUCCCCGCCCCGCCGCUGGGGAUGCUCUUCAACCUCACUUCUUAUAUCCGACUACGUCUGGGUUUAUUCUUUUAUUGCUUUUUUUUUUUCCCCCACAGCCCCGGCGGAGCAGGCGGUGGCCGCGGGUAGGGUCGAGAGGUGCUGCGGGGCAAAUCCGAGCACGGGAGCGCUCUGAGGCUCCAGGGAGGCCAGGGGACACUAGAGGUGGACAGUGUUGAUGAUAUUCCUGGUGCUCUCACAGUUCCAGAUGCAAAUGCUGAGCUUCUAUUGAAGGAAGAACAGUGGAACUGGAGAGUGAAUGGAGCCAGCCCAGCUGCACUUGAAAAACGUCUGCCCAAAGCUGUUUGUUGUGAAUCCAUGCCUGGUGUCCCUCUGCAGAGCAGCACAAGGCCAGCUCUUCCUCCAGCUGUGAUUUUUGCUUUUUCUUUCUGA
rnacentral:lncRNA from 1 species